GACUUUAUGCCGCUAUUCAAUUCAGUGAAGCAGUCUUACUCGCGGCAGCUGUCAUGUGAGGAGCAAGCAGCUCGCUCAACAAGUACAGUAUACUCUAGUGUCGGCAUUCAAGCCAAAUUGUGCCUAUACUUGGGGGAAAUUAUUUGGGAUACAUUGUGGAAUAAAGACAGAAGGAAGCGACACGUCGCCGAAUUACUGAAAUGAACUCCGCGAACCAGAUAUGCAUGGCAGCACUCUAAGACCGAAUUCGGACAGUGUGCUAGGAGUCAAGGGAAGGAGAGAGCCCUCAACAAUCAGAGAGGAUGGGUGAGACAGAGGAUGAGCGCACUGCUCAAGCCAGCCAGCUUUUUGAGAACUUUGUCCAGAUGUCCACAUGCAAGGGGACCCUGCAAGCCUUCAGCAUCCUAUGCAGGCAACUGGACUUGGAUCCGCUUGACUACGGCACUUUCUACAGUUCCCUAAAAGCUGCAGUUAACUCCUGGAAGGUCAAAGCUUUGUGGACAAAAUUGGAUAAAAGGGCACAACAAAAGGUUUACUGCCAAAAUAAAGCCUGUCAUGGGACUAGGUGUCUGAUCAUUGGCGGUGGCCCUUGUGGUCUGCGGACAGCCAUUGAGUUGGCACUUCUGGGAUGUAAGGUGGUGGUGAUUGAGAAGAGAGACACAUUCUCCAGGAACAAUGUGCUGCAUCUGUGGCCCUUUACCAUUGAAGAUCUGAGAGGCCUGGGGGCCAAGAAGUUCUAUGGCAAAUUCUGUGCUGGCUCUAUUGAUCAUAUCAGUAUCCGUCAGCUCCAGUUGAUGCUGCUGAAAAUCUGCCUGAUUCUUGGGGUUGAGGUUCACGUCAACGUAGAAUUCAUCAAACUUGUUGAGCCACCAGAAGAACAAAUUGAUGACAGUCCUAGUUGGAGAGCAGAUAUUAGGCCCUCAAGCCACUGUGUCGCAGACUUUGACUUUGAUGUGGUGAUUGGAGCUGAUGGACGCAAAAACACAUUAGAUGGUUUCAGUCGAAAGGAGUUUCGGGGAAAACUGGCUAUUGCUGUGACAGCUAACUUUGUCAACAGAAACACCACAGCAGAGGCUAAAGUGGAGGAGAUUAGUGGAGUCGCCUUUAUCUUUAACCAGAAGUUCUUCCUUGAUCUGAAGGAAGAAACGGGAAUUGAUUUAGAAAACAUUGUUUACUACAGAGACAACACUCAUUAUUUUGUCAUGACUGCCAAGAAGCAGAGUCUGCUGGACAAAGGAGUCAUUAUUAAUGACUAUCUCGAAACAGAACGUUUACUAAGCAAUGAGAAUGUAAACCAGGAAGCUUUGCUCUCCUAUGCCCGAGAGGCAGCUGACUUUGGUACAAACUACCAGCUACCAUCGCUGGACUAUGCUAUCAACCACUAUGGACAGCCAGAUGUAGCAAUGUUUGACUUUACCAGCAUGUAUGCCUCAGAGAAUGCCGCUUUGAUCAGGGAGAAACAUGGACAUCAGCUACUGGUUGCACUAGUGGGAGAUAGUCUGCUUGAGCCUUUCUGGCCAAUGGGUACAGGUUGUGCUCGGGGUUUUCUGGCUGCAUUUGACACAGCUUGGAUGGUGAAGUCCUUUGCUCAGGGCAAGAACCCUCUUGAGAUACUGGCAGAAAGGGAGAGCAUCUACAGACUACUGCCCCAGACAACAACAGAGAACAUCAGUAAAAACUUUGAUCAGUAUACCAUUGACCCUGCUACCCGCUAUCCCAACCUAAAUUCCAGUCGUGUACGCCCCCAACAGGUACGCCACUUAUUCAGUGAUGGCAAGCAGGACUCAUCUCACCUUCAAGGUCCCAAAGUUAGGCAUAUCAACCCAUCCAGAGAAGAGUCUGAAGUGCGUCCUGACCGGCUGCUGACAUGGUGUCAGAGACAGACUCAUGGCUACAGAAGUGUCAACAUCACUAACCUGACAUCUUCCUGGAGGAGUGGACUUGCCCUUUGUGCCCUCAUACAUAGGCAGCGGCCUGAACUCAUUGACUACGACUCCCUUAAUGAGAAUGACGUGGCAGCAAACAAUCAAUUGGCCUUUGAUGUGGCCGAGCAACACCUAGGGAUUCAGCCCGUGACGACUGGAAAGGAGAUGGCUGCCGAAGCAGAACCAGACAAACUGCUCAUGGUUUUGUACCUGUCCAGAUUUUACGAAGCCUUUAGGAGCUCUUCUGGAAACAAAAAAGGAGAAAGAGACGAGAAUAGUGAAAAACAACCAGCAAAAAGCAACCUUUGCCUGCCCAGGAAAAGGAUACCCAAGGAUGACAAAAAAACUGAUGAAGAUUCAGUCAAUAAGAGACGACGAAAGGGUAAUGGCUACCUCAGAGAGUUAUCCUGUCACAGUGCGCCCUCAGCAGGUGAGGAUGGGAAACUGCAGGAGAACCGGGUUCGAUCCAUGGCAACGCAGCUGCUGGCCAAAUUUGAGGAGAACGCUGCAGAAACAACCCAUGGCAAGCCUGCGGUUGACCUAGCGAGCAUAUCCUUUUCUUCACCUUUGUCACCUUCCUCCACCUCACCCCUUUCAAAUGAGGAGGAGGUGGAGGACAGUGAAAAUCCUCGCUUUGCAAAGCCCAAGGAUGCCCACCAUCCUGCUUCUCCUCAUCCUACUUCUCCAUCCCUGCGCAACCCAAAACCCAAAUGGCAGCCUUCCAUCUACCUUCGUUUACUGGAAAAUCCUGCUUCUGUGGCUCCACAAAGCAGUUUCCUCGUUUCUCCUAACUCCUCUCACUCUAUAAGCACCAGUCGCUCUCCUUCACCCACACACUCCAAAAGCACAUUGCGCUCAGCAAGUCCUAUACUCCUCAACUCAGAAUGCAGCUCUUCUAUUCCUAAAGUCAGCCAUUGUUCUGCCUCUGCUCUGUUGGAUGUUGAACUUUCCUCACAAAAGUCAACAGCGGAAAUGCAGCAGAUUAAAGCAGAAAAUGCUUCUACUAGAAAAUUUGGCCAAAAGACUAUAAAGGAAAGAGCUGUCCUCCUUUCAUCCUUGUUAACUGGCUCCAGCAAUCCUACUCCUGUUCAUUUUCCCUCUCUUCCUGAAGCACAGGUUGAAUUAUCUACCUCUAUCCCUCCUCUUCCUCAAUCUAAAAGCACCAAAAUAUACCCAGUGGUCCACCCUGUCCCUGACCCCACUGCCCAGGCUGGUUUCUCCUCAAGUUCUCUUCCGUGCAAGCAAGCGAAAGACUACCCCAUUCUUUCAAAACAAAAUCAGCUGGAUUACUUGUCUAGUAAUAGGAACAUCCCCAAUGAAACAGCAGUUUCUAACGAAAGCAGGAAAGCCAUAUCUCCGCUCCCUGAAAUCAGUUUCUCUUCGGGUCCAGUUUUUGCAGCGUUGAAGGAAUUUAAAGGAAAUGAACACAGUCUUCAGCGCAGUGUUGAAACCCAACAAAUCCACAAAACCGCCCAUGAGAUGUCAGAGAGCCACAAAUGUGACAGUAACGUAAAGAGCAAUGGAAGUUAUGGUCUUGAAGACUCUAAAGGAUUUAUUCGAAAAUCAGUCAUUCGGUCUGAGAGUUGUCCAUCUGGAGCUCCAAGCUACUGUAAAGAGCGUACAGUUGGAAAGGUGUCAUCAACAAUAGAUGCUAAAGCCCAAAUACUGGCCAUUCUCUAUGAGACGGAUCACAGGCCUGGUGCUGCUAUGUGUGUGGGGCGUAAAGAAUUCCACUCUGGAUUUGGAGGCAGCGAUAUCUGCCACUUCUGCUCUAAGCGGGUAUAUGUAAUGGAGAGACUGAGUGCUGAAGGUUACUUCUUCCACCGAGAAUGUUUCCGCUGUCAUGUCUGUAACUGCACCCUACGUCUGGGUGGCCACAUUUUCUGCUCAUAUGAGGCUAAGUUCUACUGUAAGAUGCAUUAUACCCAAUACCAGUCCAAUGCACACUUCAGGAAAAGAAAGGAGGACCAUGGCCCUGUCACAUCCUUAGUGCGAGACAAUGGGAGAAACUCUUUGACAACCUCCAUCCAGACGCAACCUCCAGGUACCCUGGUUUCCUUGCUUUGGCGAGGCUUGAGUUGGCCAAGGCAUGCCAGCCGGGCUGUGUGUGUGAUUCCUGGACGUCUUUUGGGCUGUGUGCGUGAGUCUAUCACAGCUGUGGCUACCCAUUUGAGAAGCUACCUACGUGACUAUGUGUUCCUGUACGAGUUGCUGAGCAUGGGCUGUUCUCUGCUGUCUGUUAUGCAAGAGGUGCUCGGACAGAUCAGCCAGGAACCUCAGCUAGCUCAGGAGCAGUUCGUCAGCCUCUAGUUCAUAUGCAGAAGCUGAGGAAAUACAGUAGAUAAAGGCUCACAUAACGAUACGCUCCAUUUGCACAAAAUACAUGUGGCGUUAUGUGGUAUUAUCUUUUAUACAUUCAAAGUGCCCUAUUGGAUAUUUUUUUUUAAGAUAAAGGGGAUUUCAAUAUGCAAGGUAUGCAUCAUGUGACUAGUUUCUAUUGUUCUCGCUAUUUAAUUUAAUCCAACUGCCCUUGAUGAAAUUUUAAGCCUACUUUCUAAGUAUGCAGAUAUGCUUAAUGGAUGUUGUAAAGAGCUGUAUCGAUCUGAACUCAAAUUGGGUUGCUGAAGCCAGCUUCGACUAUGAACUUUAUUAUACAAGUGUGAAUAACUCCCUAACUGUGUUGAUAAUGAAUCACAAUUGAAUUGAACAUAGUGUGGAACUGAUAGGAAAUGUCUUUUGUUAAUACGACUGAAUCUAACUUUAAGAAUGUGUUGGAUGCAUUGGAGGAUUUAUAUGCACAGCAAUUCCAGUAGGUGACUUGGCACAUUGCCUGAUGCACUAUGACUGCAAUGGAAAUGCCAAAAGCUUUAGCUUUUAAUUGGAGCACAUGUGAUUCAUAUCUAUACCAAAAUUCGUGAAACGAUAUAUUUUGUUGUCUGAGUUUAUUUAAUAUAUUUUUGUAUCUUUUUUUUUUUUUUUUACCUAAGUAAAAAUGUGUAACUUUUUAUCGGUCCUAGUAUUUGUAUAACUUUUUGCUUAGAAAAAAGACCAAGAAAUAUAAAAAAAGUUCUACUUGUUUGAGCUAGGGAAAAUUAGAUUUUUUUUUUCUGCAUCUUUUCUGCACUCAAAUCUAUUCUGCCCCCUGACACACUUUCCAGAUCUUUUUUUAUUAAUUUUCACCACACUUCAUUCACUUCAUUUUGUUCAGUGUUUUUAACAUUUCCACUGCAGCACAAAUUCUGAUCGAUGCAAAAAGAAUUUUCCAUUGUGUUUUGACAUCUCUUCAACUCUGUGAUGGAAUGCGGGGAUUGCUCCCUCUCCCCCAAUUUGUGUUUUUGCACAAAUGACGCCUUGUAUUGGUCAUACUCAUCACAUUGUUACUGUCUUUGUCUCGUGGCAUUCAUAACUCUGUGACCCUUAUUAAACCCUGCGCUUAGCUUCUCUAACACCCUAACGCAAACACACUAGUUGCAUGCCCCAGUGGAUGCAUUGUCAUCAUCAACCGUCCUUCUCUUAAAGCUAGUUUGACUGUAACGCGUAUCCACAUUUGUGUGUGGUUCCCUCUGUUACAGAAGAAGACCGCUCCCCUUCAGAAUCCCUCUCCAGAUCUCUCUCAUGUACCUGCUAGAAUAUGUCCAAAAGAUAAGCUGUCCACUAGCUGCUUUUCCACAUAGCAUUGCUUAGUAUGCAACAGUGGAUAUACAAAAUGAAUACACCAGGUUUUUUUCCUCAUAAUCACUACAUUUUUUUCUAUUUAUAGUUGGUUAAUAGUUUCAUCAUGUGCGGAUUUGUUAAAAAAAAAAAAAAAAAUUUAAACGCAUUUGGGUAAAACGUUUUUAAAGAGUAUAAUGCCCCAAGUGGUGAAAGCUGCCACUCCCACUAUAUGCCGUGCAAUCCCAGUUACAGAAAAAAAAAAAAAAAUCAAGAAAAAGGUUCUUUUAUAAUUUGAUCAUAAAUGUCGAUUUUCCUUUCUUAAUUGAUUGUACAAAUGUUUUAAACAACAGUUUAGAAUUCACUCCUACCCCAACAACCCACUCAUUUAUGGAAAAUCGUUGCAUCCAACUAGGCUUGUGCCAGUAUGAUAUUCUGGCGGUAUGAUAACCUAAAUAUCACAGUUUACCGGUAUCACGGUAUUGCAAUUACACUUUUAAAAUGUGUUACUUUGAGAUAUCUGGGUUUUAAAAAAAAAACUUUUUCCAUUGAACAGGAUUUUUAGUUUUCAAAACAUAUUAGCAAAUUAGAACAUAAGUAUAAUGUUAAGUUAAAAUAUAUUUUAUAUAUAUAUAUAUAUGUAUAUACAAAUUUAAAAUAAAUGCAGUCCUUUAGGUGAGCCUAAACCCACAGCCACAGCUCAACAUGAUUACUAUCAGAACAAAAAUAACUGAAUUAUUUUCCAUUAUAAGUACGUGUGUAUGACUCGUAUCAUCUUUACAUUAUACACUCUUUCAGACAGUUGCCAGAGUGAAUAAAAACACCACGUUUUACCACCCCUAGACACACUAAACACGCUGGAGUUAACUCUCGUAGCUGGUGGGAAAUGUUCAUAAGUGUUAACUAACCUUUAAUUUUGAAUAUAUGCGAAAUCAUAUUGGAGGUCUUGCGUCCUCGGCAGCCACCCUUCGCAAACAUGUUUUACAUGGCCCUCCUCUUCUAAGCUGUGGCUGUCUAAAUUUUCUCAAACUGAAGUAUUCCAAUAACAGCAAUUUCGUUUUCUUCGAUGGGGGGAAAAGCUAUCAUGCUCCAGCUAUCAUGUAGCACAGCUGACUCACUGACACUGACCAACAACUGGUGGGGGAGAGUUGAGUCUUGCAGCUGCAAGCGAGGGAUUUCUCCAUGCAUUUUUGAGACAUAAAAAAUAGCUAAUAACUUAGGGGCGGUAUGACGGAAAAUUUUUGCAGUUUUGAAACGUUUUCAUACCACGGUAUACCUUGAAGCACAUGUCUACAUGGAACGCCACUCAUAAGAGUUAAGGCUCUCUAGCCAUUGCGUUCCUUAGCCCUUCCUGUUGUUUUGUUUUGUUUUUUUAUUCAAUUUUUUAUUAUGUUAUAUUUUAAAAUGUUACUCUGCUUUACAAAUGUAUCCCAAAAAAAUAUGUUAUAUUUUAAAAUGUUACUCUGCUUUACAAAUGUAUCCCCCCCCCCCAAAAAAAAAAAAAAACAUUUCAUCAUAAUGAACAUCAUUAAACCGCGCACAAUACUCAGUUCUAUUUUCUGCCGGUUGUCGGGCAAGACCUGAAACACACGAAGGGAUUACUAAAAACAACCUGGAAAGCAUCGCAAUGUGAUCAGCUAUUUUUGAAAAGCCUGACCUGCCGAUCUUGAUUUUGGCUGACCCCAUUUAUUUAUUAUUAUUUAUUAUUUUCAUAAACAGCACACAGAUUUAACAUUCCAAUCAAUCUUGUUUUAUUGUAAAACAUUGAAUAUUACCAGGGACUGUUUUUUAACUGCACAUACAGCAGUUUUCAAAAAGUCAUUAAAAAAUGUAAAACUUUCCAAACUACUAAAUUAUCAUCUUCUUUCCCAAAAAUGAAAAUGCAGCAGUAUUUUGCUUUACAAAAAGAAAAUCAUGGGGUUUAGGGAAAUUGAAAAAUUAAUUUUACGGAAAGAAAACUUCUAAAUUAUCUUAAUGCUUUUUAAUCAUAGAACAGUUUCAAUGUGCACCAAAUGUGAGCUUUCACUAAACAGGUAUUAUCUAACUGAUUUCACUCACGAAAGAAAGAGUAACAAGGCCAUCUAGUAAGCGCAAAACGUCGAUUAAGUAUGGCAGACAUUACAAUUGUAAACAUUUUUGGGGUUGUGAAAAUAUGCAACAAGUGCACUUAGGUGAUUCUUUUAAUAACCACGAAUGUCUGCAACCAAAUGGUAGUGUGUGAGACAGUCCAUAUAGUCUCUGGAAAAAUAAGCUGCCAGAAGCCUUAGUUCUUUGAAAAAAGUGCAAUUUAUAGUCCAGAAAACUACAGAAAGCAUAUAAAAAUACAUUGUUACUGUUUUGCUGGCUGGGUGUCAGUUAAAACAUCUGCCAGGUUAAAGUUUUUAGGACCGCCACCUGUGCAAUAAGCAACUUUUGAUUUAUUUACAGUAUUUAGUCUUGUUUUGAAUGGUGAGCAGGUCUUUUUGAGCUCAAGUCAAUCAGUAGCUCAGAAGACUGCUUUAAUUCAAGCAAAGGGAAAGAAUUAGUUUUAGGGUGUUCAGUCUUCUUUUGUAGAUGUAUAAUUGUUUAAAAUUUUACCCCUAUAAUAUAUUUUUUUGUGAACGAAAUGUAACGGUUAUUCAAUUGAUAAUUAUUUAUGUACAUCUAUUUAUAUAAAACAGAACCCUGAUUUAACAAAGAGGUGUGUUCACUUUCUAUAUCCCAUGAUUACUGAUUGUUUUUGUUGCUGUAGGUUGCAGUCCAUUCUUCUUUUUCCUCAAUCAAAUUACUGUAAAGAAUGCAUAAUCGAUUAUAUUUAUGCAAUGUAAAUAUGACUAAAAAUAAAUCUAAUGGAUAACAUAAUUGUUUUGUUCUUUAUUGUCUGCUAGUUUGAUUCAUUACGCAACUUGAAAUUAGAGUAGUUGUGUAUUUUUGUGAUAUUUUAAAAAGUCAUUUCCAUAUGUAAUAACCACAAUUAACAAUUUCACAAUCAUCUGUCUGGAAAAUCCUGUCUUUCUUUGUGCAUAGUGAACCUAACAUCACAUGCAGAGUUGUUUGUUUAUUGUUUAGUUUCAGCGUGAGAGUAACGCACGUUUGGAACAUGAUAGCAGAUUUACAGUGAAAGGAAAAUGAAAACCCUGAAGUGAAAGACAUUUGUUUUUCCAGCUGAGAGCAACUGAAUUUAUUGCAGUGUACCUGAGCAAAACUGAAGUGAAUCAUGUCUCCAGUCAACUUUCUUCCUACUGAACUAGGUUUCUUGACUUUCUCAAGUCUUUCCUUUUGGGUGGUGAUGCUGUUUCACAUCUUCUCAACACUUUUACACAUGAGUCUUCUCCUCAUACACACUUACAGGAGGAUCUUUUUUGACUUAAUUUUGGUGAAUGCACAAUUGAUUGUGUGGCAAGAAUACAAACAUAAUGGUAGGCAGUGAAGACCCGUCAAACAGUGUAUAAUUUCUAAACACUUUAAUGUCUGAAGAUCAGAUGAGUUUUAGAAAGAAGCUUAUAAUAUGUCUUGGCGACAACAUCAAAUUAAUUCAAAGCCCUACUAUUAUUUUUGUUUCAAGAAAAAUUGGGCCACUUUUUUCUGUGAAGCACAGAAUAAUGGUCCAUUUUUUUCUGUGAAACACAAAGCAAUGGUUGUGAUGAAAGUGUAUACUAAACAAAUGAGUUUUUUUUCUUUUCAAAAAUCUCUUAACAAAAUUGUCCCUAUAAUGUACACUAGAACAGAGUGAGCCUCACAAACCCUGUCAGUCUCAGCAAGAAUCCGGGUUUACAUUGGAGUGCUUGAAUGGUAAAAUAACGCUUCUCUUUGCAAUAAAUAGUUUUUUAAUACUUGUCAAAUUACAGCUGUAGUUGUACACUAACCCCGUGUGGUGUACACUGGGCUGUAUUUGAUAUUUGUGUGGAUGCCACCUAUUUUCUUAAAAUGCAGAUUAGUAAAUAUUUGUUAUUUUAGGUGUGACAUGUCUUAUAAAGAUAGUCAUCAAAUGGUUAUUGAAAAACAUUCAAAAAUACUGUAAAUGUAUCUGCAUUUUGUUUCAGAUAAGCUGGCCACACAACUUAAUGAAAUGCAGUUCAGUGUACGCCAAAUGUGCAGAGAUUCAUCUAACAUGCGCAAUGGGCAUGUAGAUAAAUUGACAAGAGAUCCUGGAGAGACAGACAUGGCUGUGGAAAGCUUUGAUACGCCAAGGAUGGAAAAGCAAGAUGUCACAGCAGCAA